rfam:Heterocephalus glaber contig270502, whole genome shotgun sequence.
UGUAGCUCAGUGGUAGAGCACUUGCCUAGCAGGCAGGAGGCCCUGGAUUCAAUCCCUUGCA